rnacentral:rRNA from 1 species
UACGAAGGGGGCUAGCGUUGCUCGGAAUUACUGGGCGUAAAGGGCGCGUAGGCGGACAGUUUAGUCAGAGGUGAAAGCCCAGGGCUCAACCUUGGAAUUGCCUUUGAUACUGGCUGUCUUGAGUUCGGGAGAGGUGAGUGGAAUGCCGAGUGUAGAGGUGAAAUUCGUAGAUAUUCGGAAGAACACCAGUGGCGAAGGCGGCUCACUGGUCCGGUACUGACGCUGAUGUGCGAAAGCGUGGGGAGCAAACAGG